rnacentral:rRNA from 1 species
UAUCUGCCGUGGGCGCUGGAGAAUUGAGGGGGGCUGCUCCUAGUACGAGAGGACCGGAGUGGACGCAUCACUGGUGUUCGGGUUGUCAUGCCAAUGGCAUGCCCGGUAGCUAAAUGCGGAAGAGAUAAGUGCUGAAAGCAUCUAAGCACGAAACUUGCCCCGAGAUGAGUUCUCCCUGAGACUUUAACCUAGAU